UUAACUUUGACAAAAAAAACAUAUGGUUAACUAAUCUAAAUUUAAAACAUCAACUCUAAACCCUAAAUCAUCAACUAUAAACCCUAAACCCCGAAACAUCAACUCUAAACCCUAAACCCUAAACCUUCAAACCUAAACCCUAAAACAUCAACUCUAAACCCUAAACGUAAACCCUAAACCCUAAAUCUAAACUUAAAACAUCAACCCUAAACCCUAAAUCAUCAACUCUAAACCCUAAACCAUGAAACAUCAACUCUAAACCCUAAACCCCUAAACAUCAACUCUAACCCUAAACCUUCAAAUCUAAACCCUAAAACAUUAACUCUAAACCCUAAACGUAAACCCUAAACCCUAUAUUUUUCUGAAAUUCAAACCCUAAACCCUAAAACCCUAA
rnacentral:lncRNA from 1 species